GAUGAAACAACUGCAGAACAUCUGAUGAAGAAAAGAUACUAUGCCCAUGCCCACAGUACGGUCUGGCUGAGCCAGCCUGCCUUUCUGAGGCUCGAGGUAAAAAGGCCCAGCAUUCCCUUUCCUGCGUCCGUGAGAAGCUGGCCAGAACCUAGCACUUUUACUGACCCUUCGGACCUCUUCCCUUUCCCGGCCUCCUCACCAAACGCUGCCUGUCAACUGGCCGUCAGACCUGAUGCAGCUCAAAUAGCACGUGUCGUCUCCUCCUCUUAGUCUCCUUUCGGGAGGCUGCUGCAACGGCCAGCCUGCCCUGGGAUAUUUUGAACCUAAAAGGGGAAUCCCAAUUUCUCCUCUACCAUCCUCCCAAAUUCCUGUAUGUGAAUGUUUACAACUGAGAAAUUCAUCAAAAACUAAG
rnacentral:lncRNA from 1 species